ACUCCUACGGGAGGCAGCAGUGGGGAAUAUUGCACAAUGGGGGAAACCCUGAUGCAGCGACGCCGCGUGAGUGAUGAAGUAUUUCGGUAUGUUAAAGCUCUAUCAGCAGGGACGAAAAAGACGGUACCUGACUAAGAAGCCCCGGCUAACUACGUGCCAGCAGCCGCGGUAAUACGUAGGUGGCAAGCGUUAUCCGGAAUUAUUGGGCGUAAAGCGCAUGUAGGCGGCUUUUAAGGUCUGAUGUGAAAGCCAGUGGCUCAACCACUGAAUUGCAUUGGAAUCACUGGAAAGCUAGAAUCUUGGAGAGGUAAGUGGAAUUUCAUGUGUAGCGGUGGAAUGCGUAGAUAUAUGAAGGAACACCAAUGGCGAAGGCAGCUUACUGGACAAGUAUUGACGCUGAGAUGCGAAAGUGUGGGUAGCAAACAGGAUUA
rnacentral:rRNA from 1 species